rnacentral:lncRNA from 1 species
UCCGACUUGGAAGCCCACCGAUCCAAAAUGUUUGGGUUGAUUCUGCCCAGCAUAAAAUUGACCCUCUGACCCCUGUAGAGCCUCGAGUCUCACAACCUCUAGAAAUGCAUCAGUAUCGACCCUUGGUCCAAAUCUCGGUCGUCGGAUCACCUCUUCAGAGACCACUAUGCCUUAGCUGGGCAAGGUCCAUUUUGACCAACUUUUAUUUGGCCACCCUAUUCAGGAGGCUAAUAACAAAUCAUUGCAUGCUACUUUCAAAGUAGGCCAUUAUAGAGGCAUUGGGCUGUCCACGUUAUGUCAGGCCAUUAAGCUCGAAGGGCUCAUACUUGGGCCACUUGUGGGAGCGACGAACUACCGACCAAAGAGCAUCAAAACAACUAUCCAAUCUAAAGGUAAAUAAACCGAAGUUACCUAAUGAAAGGGGCAAAUCUCGCAAUAGAUCUGGCUAGAAAAGGUGGGGACCUGGCUCAUAUCUUCAGAGAUGCAGGUUGAUUCAUACUUCUUGGACCUGACCCCAGCUCAGAACAAGGAGUAUAGGGGCAUAUGUUGGAGGGUAAUACCUCAUCCCCUUAAAGUAAUAGAAAAAGUUGAUGUCUUUGGCUUUGUUUAAUGUAAUGUAUCUUGAGUACUAUUUGAAUUUCAUUGAUGGCUGGUCAAGAAGCUCGUCGAUUGGGUGUUCUAAAAGAACGUCUAAGAAAAGAAGAGAUUGAGAUAAUACUAAGACUGUUGAAAGUGAUGCCCCAGCUGUGCCGAAGACAAGUAUAGCCGAGGCCGAAGUCGGAUUGUCGAGCCUCAGAUGUCGAUCCAAGAGAUACCAUGACUCCUUCC